ensembl:snoRNA SNORD58 Small nucleolar RNA SNORD58
UUGCUGUGAUGACUAUCUUAGGACACCUUUGGAAUGCCCAUGAAAAAAAAGACAAGAUCUUUCUGAGCAAC